UACGGAGGGUGCAAGCGUUAUCCGGAUUCACUGGGUUUAAAGGGUGCGUAGGUGGUCCGUUAAGUCUGUUGUGAAAGCCCUUGGCUCAACCAAGGAAUUGCUUCGGAUACUGGCGGACUUGAGGCUAGUAGAGGUCACUGGAACUGACGGUGGAGCGGUGAAAUGCGUAGAUAUCGUCAGGAACGCCGGUGGUGAAGACGGGUGACUGGGCUAGUUCUGACACUGAGGCACGAAAGCGUGGGGAGCGAACGGG
rnacentral:rRNA from 1 species